rnacentral:rRNA from 1 species
AGCGCAGGCGGGAAGGCAAGUCAGCUGUGAAAACUAUGGGCUUAACCCAUAGACUGCAGUUGAAACUGUCUUUCUUGAGUGGAGUAGAGGUAAGCGGAAUUCCGAGUGUAGCGGUGAAAUGCGUAGAGAUUCGGAGGAACACCAGUGGCGAAGGCGGCUUACUGGGCUCUAACUGACGCUGAGGCUCGAAAGUGUGGGGAGCAAACA